AAACUGCUGACGUCAGCCUGACCUAAAACCCAGUAUGCUUUAUUUAUUUAUUAUGGAUGAGAGAAUAAUGUAAAGUUUACUCAAAGUGUGACAUUUUAUGUAAUAAGAUAUUAAUUAAAGUGCACGCAAAAGGUCAUCUCUGUUUCGACCUCACCUAAGGUUUGCUUCUAGAUUUAUAUACGUCUAAAUUAGUAUUUUGAUUUCGAUAAUAAUAUUAUUUAGUAAAGCAUUGAAUUUGAGAAUGAUGAAGUGGCUUGGUUUCUAGGGUUAUAAGACAGGAACCCACGACGACCAUCACCAACACAUCAGCAGAUCAGCUACUAGGUCCAACUCCAACUCUUUAUUUUUGUUGGUUCAACAAUUUACUGCAAAAGACUUAAAAAAAUGUAGCCCAAAUAAUCAUGUCAGGAUAAUGGACCGAAGAUUGGUUGAUGGGCCGUUUUAGAUCAAAAAAAUCAUUCCACCUUUGGAAAAGAUCUCUUUAGCAUAUUACUUUAAGGUUUGUUGCAAAUGAAAAAUAGUUGGAAAAUAUUUUAGACCCUUAAAAGUCUUAUCCGAUAGGUAAAGUAUUUAAAUCAGUUCAUGGGUUGAGUUUCAUAAUUGAAACUAGGCAUAGAUUGGCCCUUUCCUUUCUCUUUAAUAAAUACUCGAUUCAUCCCUUUCUACUGUCUGUCUCAAUAUCUGUACAUACCAUUCAUUGUAGCAAUCACUAUACGUACAUGUUAAUGUCUAUGAAGUAUGAACAAUAAUAAGAAUUGGGUAAGAGAGUUAUAUAUGUUGUUGAUAAACAACAGUGAAUUCAAAACUAUAUAAUUUAGAGAGGGUUUGUAUAUCCCUUUUUUUCCUCUGUAUGA